GCCUGACGGGAGCAAUGCCGCGUGAGUGAAGAAGGCCUUCGGGUCGUAAAACUCUGUUMUWWKAGAAGAACAAAUUGUAGAGUAACUGCUACAGUCUUGACGGUAUCUUAUCAGAAAGCCACGGCUAACUACGUGCCAGCAGCCGCGGUAAUACGUAGGUGGCAAGCGUUGUCCGGAUUUAUUGGGCGUAAAGGGAGCGCAGGUGGUUUCUUAAGUCUGAUGUGAAAGCCCACGGCUUAACCGUGGAGGGUCAUUGGAAACUGGGAAACUUGAGUACAGAAGAGGAAUGUGGAACUCCAUGUGUAGCGGUGGAAUGCGUAGAUAUAUGGAAGAACACCAGUGGCGAAGGCGACAUUCUGGUCUGUUACUGACACUGAGGYUCGAAAGCGUGGGGAGCAAACAGGAUUARAUACCCUGGUAGUCCACGCCGUAAACRAUGAGUGCUAGGUGUUGGAGGGUUUCCGCCCUUCAGUGCCGCAGUUAACGCAUUAAGCACUCCGCCUGGGGAGUACGACCGCAAGGUUGAAACUCAAAGGAAUUGACGGGGACCCGCACAAGCGGWGGAGCAUGUGGUUUAAUUCRAAGCAACGCGAAGAAMCUUACCAAGUCUUGACAUCCU
rnacentral:rRNA from 1 species